rnacentral:rRNA from 1 species
UUUACGGAGAGUUUGAUCCUGGCUCAGGACGAACGCUGGCGGCGUGCUUAACACAUGCAAGUCGAACGAUGAAGCUGGAGCUUGCUCCGGUGGAUUAGUGGCGAACGGGUGAGUAACACGUGAGCAAUCUGCCCUUGACUCUGGGAUAACUGCGGGAAACUGUAGCUAAUACCGGAUACUUUCCUCGGUGGGCAUCCACUGGGGAAGAAAGAAUUUCGGUCAAGGAUGAGCUCGCGACCUAUCAGCUAGUUGGUGAGGUAAUGGCUCACCAAGGCGACGACGGGUAGCCGGCCUGAGAGGGUGACCGGCCACACUGGGACUGAGACACGGCCCAGACUCCUACGGGAGGCAGCAGUGGGGAAUAUUGCACAAUGGG